ACCGGUUGAUCCUGCCGGACCCGACCGCUAUCGGGGUAGGGCUAAGCCAUGCGAGUCGCGCGCCCGGGGGCGCCCGGGAGCGGCGCACGGCUCAGUAACACGUGCCCAACCUACCCUCGGGAGGGGGACACCCCCGGGAAACUGGGGCCAAUCCCCCAUAGGGGAGGGGCGCUGGAAGGCCCCCUCCCCCAAAGGGAUGGCGGCCGAUCCGCCGCCAUCCGCCCGAGGAUGGGGGCACGGCCCAUCAGGUAGUUGGCGGGUUAAAGGCCCGCCAAGCCGAAGACGGGUAGGGGCGGUGAGAGCCGCGAGCCCCGAGAUCGGCACUGAGACAAGGGCCGAGGCCCUACGGGGUGCAGCAGGCGCGAAUACUCCGCAAUGCGGGCAACCGCGACGGGGCUACCCCGAGUGCCGGGCGAAGAGCCCGGCUUUUGCCCGGUCUAAAAAGCCGGGAGAAUAAGCGGGGGGCAAGUCUGGUGUCAGCCGCCGCGGUAAUACCAGCUCCGCGAGUGGUCGGGGUGUUUACUGGGCUUAAAGCGCCCGUAGCCGGCCCGGCAAGUCGCUCCUGAAAUCCCAGGGCCCAACCCUGGGGCGGGGGGCGAUACUGCCGGGCUAGGGGGCGGGAGAGGCCGCCGGUACUCCGGGGGUAGGGGCGAAAUCCGUUAAUCCCCGGAGGACCACCAGUGGCGAAAGCGGGCGGCCAGAACGCGCCCGACGGUGAGGGGCGAAAGCCGGGGGAGCAAAGGGGAUUAGAUACCCCUGUAGUCCCGGCCGUAAACGAUGCGGGCUAGCUGUCGGCCGGGCUUAGGGCCCGGCCGGUGGCGAAGGGAAACCGUUAAGCCCGCCGCCUGGGGAGUACGGCCGCAAGGCUGAAACUUAAAGGAAUUGGCGGGGGGGCACCACAAGGGGUGAAGCUUGCGGCUUAAUUGGAGUCAACGCCGGAAACCUCACCCGGGGCGACAGCAGGAUGAAGGCCAGGCUAACGACCUUGCCGGACGAGCUGAGAGGAGGUGCAUGGCCGUCGUCAGCUCGUGCCGUGAGGUGUCCGGUUAAGUCCGGCAACGAGCGAGACCCCCACCCCUAGUUGCUACCCCGUCCUACGGGACGGGGGGCACACUAGGGGGACUGCCGGCGUAAGCCGGAGGAAGGAGGGGGCCACGGCAGGUCAGUAUGCCGGGAGACCCCGGGGCUGCACGCGAGCUGCAAUGGCGGGGACAGCGGGAUCCGACCCCGAAAGGGGGAGGCAAUCCCGUAAACCCCGCCCCAGUAGGGAUCGAGGGCUGCAACUCGCCCUCGUGAACGUGGAAUCCCUAGUAACCGCGUGUCACCAACGCGCGGUGAAUACGUCCCUGCCCCUUGCACACACCGCCCGUCGCACCACCCGAGGGAGCCCUCUGCGAGGCCCCUUGCCGACGAGGUGGGGGGACGAGCAGGGGGCUCCCAAGGGGGGUGAAGUCGUAACAAGGUAGCCGUAGGGGAACCUGCGGCUGGAUCACCU
rnacentral:rRNA from 1 species